GAAGAAAUCCAUAGCAGUGAGAAAAAUGGGUUUGGAUUAAUCCAAUUUCAGAGGGCUUGGAGGGAGCUCCACCCAUCCCACUGGAAGAUGUUCUAGGCAACAGCUGCAAAAGAAAGGAAUUGAGACUCCAGACAAGUGAACCAACUCUAGCUGAGAGUGAAUAAAUUCAGAAAUGAGGAUGUUCCUUUCCAGGUUCACUGUUCACUUUUGAAGACAUCAUACCAUCUUGGAGUCUUCUCACUCCCAUCCAUUGCUGGCCCUUUACCUGAAAUAAAACAGACUAUUGGGACCCAAGACUCUUCUCGGUUGCAUCCAUCUAUGCCUGUCCUUAUGCUAAUACCACAUUGUCUUGAUUACUGAAGCUUAAAGUAAGUCUUGAAUCAGAUGCAGAAAACGACAAACAGGAAAUACAGAUGACAAGUGCACAAUCCUCCAAUGUUCUUGAAAGUAUCAUUGAUUGGGUCCAAAAGAUAUAUAGUAGCUUCUACAUGUAGCUCCCUCCCUCCUGAGACUCAGCUUUCUUCCCUCCCCACACAUCAAACAUGUAAUCAUGAUCAGGCCUUACCCAUUCCACCUAUUGUGAUCUCCCAGAUUUGUCUCUUCUCUUCAUUUCCAACAUUACUUCCAUAUUUUAGGUCGUAUCUUUGCUUUUGGGAUAAAGUCCAAGCUACCUAGUUUAGUAAGAGCCCAUUACAGGUUUAACCCAUCAAGCCUUAUACCUUUUUAUCUUCACUUGUUACUUUCAUCCUAUGACUCAACAAAUUAUAAACUACUUGCACUACUAUGAGCAGACUGUGUUGUUUCUCAUUUCUAGUUCCAAGCAUUUACUUCCCUAACAUACCUCUGCUUCUUCCUCCUCCCAUGUCCAUUUACCUGACCAAGGUCUAUUCACCCAUUAGAUCUUAGCUAAGUUAUCCCUGCCCCUCAACCCAUUCUGAGUUGAGGGCCUUUCAGGUGUACUCACGGUACCCAUCUUUGUCAGAGUACUCUCUUGCUCUCAUAGUAUUCAGAAUGCUCUACCAUAAUGAUCAGGUAGUGUAUUAGAAUUCAUAUUUAAAUUGUAUGUUGCUUGAGGGCCAAUUAUAUCUUCUGAGUUAUUUGUCUUCAGAAACUAA